rnacentral:misc_RNA from 1 species
CAAAAACACAUAGAUAACUCGGGCUAUUUUCAGAGCACCCACCAUACAUAUAGACAUUGGUUUCACUGAGAAGCAAAACGAACUCAUACACUUUCUAGGUUUCCCAGAUAGAUAUUGUAAGAACCUUCUUUCAGUCAGUGCUUCAGGAAUCUUCAUCUAGAACAAUGGAGAAUAAGUCUGGAAUAUCAUGGACUGCUUUCCAAGGCAUCAGAUUCUGGUGUAUAACCAUGCUCACACAAUCGCGCUGUUAAAGAAUUCAAUCCAGCAUAAAUAAGGUUGGCUUCAGG